rnacentral:rRNA from 1 species
ACCAGAGCCAUGUCACCCUGCAGCUCCCACUGAAGCUAAGCAGGGUUGAGCCUGGCCAGUACCUAGAUGGGAGACCAACUGGGGAAAACUAAGGUUGUUGCUGGAC